rnacentral:rRNA from 1 species
GAUGAAUGCUAGCGGCAGGCCUAAUACAUGCAAGUCGAACGGUGUAGCAAUACACAGUGGCGCACGGGUGCGUAACACGUAUGCAACCUACCUUACAUUGGGGGAUAGCCUUUCGAAAGGGAGAUUAAUACCGCAUAAGACAGUAACUAGGCAUCUAGUAGCUGUUAAAGAUUUAUCGAUGUAAGCUGGGCAUGCGUCCAAUUAGUUAGUUGGCGAGGUAAUGGCUCACCAAGACGAUGAUUGGUAGGGGAACUGAGAGGUCAAUCCCCCACACUGGCACUGAGAUACGGGCCAGACUCCUACGAGAGGCAGCAGUAGGGAAUAUUGGGCAAUGGGCGCAAGCCUGACCCAGCCAUGCCGCGUGCAGGAAGAAGGCGUUAUGCGUUGUAAACUGCUUUUAUACAGGAAGAAACGACCCUUGCGAGGGGCAUUGACGGUACUGUAUGAAUAAGCACCGGCUAACUCCGUGCCAGCAGCCGCGGUAAAAC